CUAACCGCGCGAAGGUAGCAUAAUCACUUGUUCUUUAAAUGGGGACUUGUAUCAACGGCAUCACGAGGGUUAUACUGUCUCCUUUUUCCAAUCAGUGAAACUAAUCUCCCCGUGAAGAAGCGGGGAUACAAUUAUAAGACGAGAAGACCCCAUGGAGCUUCAAACCCAACUACACCCCUAAUUCCUACAACUUCUAAACCAUUGGGGCCCUGUAACAUUGGUUUUAGGCUGGGGCGACCACGGAGUACAACGAAUCCUCCACAAUGAACGGAGCUACUUCCUUAUCUAAGAGCUACACCUCUAAGAAUUAAUACAUUAACAUAAAAUGAUCCUUUUCUGAUCAAUGAACCAAGUUACCCUGGGGAUAACAGCGCAAUCCACUUCAAGAGCCCGUAUCGACAAGUGGGUUUACGACCUCGAUGUUGGAUCAGGGUAUCCUAGUGGUGCAGCAGCUACUAAUGGUUCGUUUGUUCAACGAUUAAAACCCUACGUGAUCU
rnacentral:rRNA from 2 species